AAUUAAUUGCCUUACUGUUGUGGGCAGAGCCACCUCUCUCAGCUGACUUUUUGGAAAUGCCAUUGUUUUUUGCUGGUGCCGCCUCCACCCACCUUUCAUUUUCUCCUUGCACGCCUACCCAAUAGAAGCAAUGAAGCAAGCCUCAGGCUUUUCUGUGCCUGUAGCCAUUGUCGUUUUGGCCAUCAUCUACAUUUACUUCUCCACGCUCUUUGUCUUCAUAGAUGGUUGGUUUGGCCUUAUGUCCUCCCCAGGAAUCAUGAACGCUGUUGUCUUCACCGCCGUGGCUCUCAUGUGUGUCUUGAACUAUGCUUUUGCCAUCUUGACAGAUCCCGGUUCAGUCCCGUCCACGUACAUGCCUAAUAUCGAAGAUGCUGAUAGCACAAUUCAUGAGAUCAAACGCAAAGGAGGAGA
rnacentral:misc_RNA from 1 species